rnacentral:rRNA from 1 species
GAUGAACGCUGGCGGCGUGCCUAAUACAUGCAAGUCGAGCGAACGGACGAGAAGCUUGCUUUUCUGAUGUUAGCGGCGGACGGGGGAGUAACACGUGGAUAACCAACCUAUAAGACUGGGAAAACUUCGGGAAACCGGAGCUAAUACCGGAAAAUAUUUUGAACCGCAGGGUUCAAAAGUGAAAGACGGUCUUGCUGUCACUAAUAGAUGGAUCCGCGCUGCAUUAGCUAGUUGGUAAGGUAACGGCUUACCAAGGCAACGAUGCAUAGCCGACCUGAGAGGGUGAUCGGCCACACUGGAACUGAGACACGGUCCAGACUCCUACGGGAGGCAGCAGUAGGGAAUCUUCCGCAAUGGGCGAAAGCCUGACGGAGCAACGCCGCGUGAGUGAUGAAGGUCUUCGGAUCGUAAAACUCUGUUAUUAGGGAAGAACAUAUGUGUAAGUAACUGUGCACAUCUUGACGGUACCUAAUCAGAAAGCCACGGCUAACUACGUG